UACGUAGGGGGCAAGCGUUAUCCGGAUUUACUGGGUUUAAAGGGCGCGCAGGCGGAUAUGUAAGUCAGUGGUGAAAUCUCUAGGCUUAACCUGGAAAUGGCCGUUGAUACUAUAUAUCUUGAAUGUUGUGGAGGUAAGCAGAAUAUGUCAUGUAGCGGUGAAAUGCUUAGAUAUGACAUAGAAUACCUAUUGCGAAGGCAGCUUACUACGCAGAUAUUGACGCUCAUGCACGAAAGCGUGGGGAUCAAACAGG
rnacentral:rRNA from 1 species